rnacentral:rRNA from 1 species
UACGUAGGGGGCAAGCGUUGUCCGGAUUUAUUGGGCGUAAAGCGCCCGCAGGCGGUCGCGUCAGUUUGGGGUGACAGCUCCUGGCUUAACCGGGAGAGGACCUCGAAGACGGCGUGACUUGAGGGCCAGAGAGGGACAUGGAACUCCGGGUGGAGUGGUGAAAUGCGUAGAGAUCCGGAAGAACACCAAAGGCGAAGGCAGUGUCCUGGCUGGUACCUGACGCUGAGGGGCGAAAGCGAGGGGAGCGAACGGG